UACGUAGGGGGCAAGCGUUGUCCGGAUUUAUUGGGCGUAAAGAGCGUGUAGGCGGCCUGAAAGGUCAGCUGUGAAAACUCGAGGCUCAACCUCGAGACGUCGGUUGAAACCAUCUGGCUAGAGUCCGGAAGAGGAGUGUGGAAUUCCCGGUGUAGCGGUGAAAUGCGCAGAUAUCGGGAAGAACACCCCGUGGCGAAGGCGGCACUCUGGGACGGGUAUGACGCUGAGACGCGAAAGCGUGGGGAGCGAACAGG
rnacentral:rRNA from 1 species